AUAUAUAUAUAUAUAUAUAUAUAUAUAUAUAUAUAUAUAUAUAUAUAUAUAUAACUUUCCUGAGUCAUAUCGACCAUAUUUAUUACCACCACACAAAGACAACAAGAGUGAUGCAACUAUACUGCUCAUAAUUAAAUAUUUUUGGUUAUGUGUAUAUCUUUUUUCCGCGUGCUAUUUAUAUCUUAAAAACUAAAAUGUGUUGUUAAAAAAACUUGUAAUGUUUCCAACGAAAUUUACUGCGUUCCUUAGCGAGAUAGGCUUUAGACCUACUUUUGCAGCCCAUUUCUGCACCGCUGAAAAUAUAAUAAAAAGAACUUGUACAAAAAGAAUUUGUAUAAAAAAAACUAUAAUAUCUCCUCCGUGUAUUAAAGUUAAAAAUCUCACAGAUCAAACAUAAGUGUUUGUAUAUUUGAAACUCGUGUCAGUCAAAGAAGGUUAAGAUCGGGGAUUGCGGAUUGGAGAUGCGAACUCAAUUUCUCGGAACGAAGCGAGUAAGGUUGAGGUAAAUUGAAAAACAUGGAAAGCUCCGAAUGAUAAACAAAGAUAGAGCAGAACGACGCGACGGUAGAAAGUGACGGGAUGUUGCUUGAAAUUCAGUUAACUUUCGCCUAUCACGAUACUCGAAUUAGGAAGUUCGAUGUCACGCGUGACCGAUUUACAGGACGAUUAACGGACGAGUCGUCCUCGACUACACGCUCGACGGAGUCUGUUUUGUUAUGUCACUCGUGAGCCCGACUGCACGCAGCAAGUUGUGUUCUGAACGCAUUGUGAACGCUAAAUGUAUGCCUUCUCGCAACUGGAAUCACGUAACACAUGGCAUUUAUAAUCUAGUUAUUUAGGAAAAUUCUAUUAGAGCUGAUUGUUUCAACCUUUUGGUAAGCUAUCUAACAGUUAAAUCAUGUAUCUGUCCACUUUGAAGAAAAAACGAAAACAAACAUAUGAUUUAACUGUCAGAUAGUUUACCAAGAGAUUGAAACAAUCGGCUCUUAGAAAAACGAAAUCUCUGGAAAAGAUUAGACUCAACGCCAAACGUGCAUCCAGAGUACGUUUCAAGAAGGCGUAUUUGUAUUCUGACCAGAAAUUCAUUCCAUGAUUCUGAUUAUGAUUACAACAAAGUACAGAUGUAAGACUCUAAGAUUAUAACAAUAAUUUGACAUAAAAAAAUAUCGAUAUUUAGGCACAAAUUUAACAGUUAUAUUAAUAACGGAAUUUUUUAAUUUGAACGUUUCAGCCCCAUUCCAAGUCCUCUUCAACAAUUAUCAGUAUCAAACUCUAUAAACUCUAUAAACUCUUUCGAAAUUGAAAUAUUAAUAUAAUAUUUUAACUUCGAAUAUAUAUAUAUAUAUAUACAUAAACAAUAAACAUAAAAAUCCUAUACCGUUUUGUAAUAUUCGCAAUAAUAGUGAAGACAUUAAUUAAAAAAUAUUAGUGAAUAAUUACGUGCGACGGUAGAUAUAUUGUAGUGGCAAUGUGUGCUAUUGUGUAAAUUAGGUGUAAAUUAGGUGUAAAUUAGGUCAAACUGAACAAAGAAACUCUUUAUCAUUUUGCAAAUAAUCACGUAGAUUUUUAGAUAUUAAUUAAAGAAGAUUUGUGCACAUUAUCACGCACAAUCAUGUAACAACUUUCUUUUAUUAGAAAGUGUAUAUUACAGUUACAUUUCAUGUACGCUGUUCAUAUUUUAGUUUGUUAUUUUUUUAGCUGAAAUACUGUAAAAAAAUGUAAAAAAAUGCUAUUUCUCGCUUCUAGCGAAAAAGCGUGUUUCGUCCUUACAUAACAUAACAUAUUGUAAAACGUUGGAUAUUCCAAUAAAUGAUACAUCGAUUUGAAGGUUAA